AUGGCCGCCGUGAAGAAGGUGGUGGUGAAGCUGGACCUGCACGACGACACGGGGAAGCGCAAGGCGAUCAAGGCCGUCUCCGCUCUCUGUGGUAUCGACGAGAUCGCCGUGGACAUGAAGGAGGACAAGAUGACGGUCGUGGGCACGGUCGACCCCGUCCACGUCGUCGGCAAGCUGCGCAGGCGCUUCUGCGCGGUGCAGGUGGUCUCCGUCGGUCCGGCCAAGGAUGAGGAGAAGAAGAAGGAGGUCUCCGCCGGCCCGGCCAAGGAGGACGAGAAGAAGAAGAAGAAGGCCAGCCGAUUGAUCGAUCGGGAUUCAUCAGCCUACCUGCACCGGUGA
rnacentral:rRNA from 1 species